CCAAUAGCGUAUAUUAAAGUUGUUGCAGUUAAAAAGCUCGUAGUUGAAUUUCGGGAUCAAUCUGUUGGUCGUGCCUUUGGUACGUACUAGCUUAUUGAUUUCUCCCUUCUGACGAACCAUGAUGUCAUUAAUUUGGUGUCAUGGGAAAUCAGGACUGUUACUUUGAAAAAAUUAGAGUGUUUAAAGCAGGCUCACGCUUGAAUACAUUAGCAUGGAAUAAUGAAAUAGGACGUUUUGAUUCUAUUUUGUUGGUUUCUAGGAUCGACGUAAUGAUUAAUAGGGAUAGUUGGGGGCAUUAGUAUUCAAUUGUCAGAGGUGAAAUUCUUGGAUUUAUUGAAGACUAACUAUUGCGAAAGCAUUUGCCAAGGAUGUUUUCAUUAAUCAAGAACGAAAGUUAGGGGAUCGAAGACGAUCAGAUACCGUCGUAGUCUUAACCAUAAACUAUGCCGACUAGGGAUCGGAUGAUGUUAAUUUUUUAAUGACUCAUUCGGCGCCUUACG
rnacentral:rRNA from 1 species